rnacentral:lncRNA from 1 species
GCUCUAUCUAAUACCUCUAGAUUAAUUCAGAACAUAUUUAAUCCUUCUUGUAUAAUAGCCUUCACAUGUGUGAAAGCUUGAUCUCUUUCCCAGUCUUAAAAACUCUCCAGCAACUUCAUCCUUCCCUCACCAAAAUGCAAAUUUCCUUCUGCUUGAACCGUGAUGUUUAAGUUCCCUUUCAUAGUGGAGUAUCCAGAAGGGAACACAUUGUAGCUAGCUUGUUGUGGGUUAAGACUGUCACUUUCCCUGUUGAAAAGACUUUAUCAGUAUGGCCUGAGGUCAGGGGAUUUUCUUAGCUGUGAUAUACUGUUGAUUUAGUGAGUCAUAAUUAUGCAAAGUUGUGUCCUUUCCCUACAUAGGUUUAUAUAUAUAUAUAUAUGGGGUUUUUUUGGACCAAAGACUAAACUUUAUAAUUAUCCUUGUUCAGUUUCAUUGAGAUGAUUUCGGUGCCUCAUACCAAUUUUCCAAGCUCAGAAGAAUCCCAGAAGCAUUUCUCAGUCUCAGGCUUCCUGGGGCAAGGCAGAUAUUCCUUUGGGGGUUACAACAGCAGCACAGUACUGACGUUUCACCAAGUUCUCUUUCAAGUAGUCCCCCUGGAAGGCUGUAAUAUAAACUUACUCAAACAAUUAAGGCAUAGUUCAUGACUAUUUUGCUUCUUGUCUUUAUAUUUUCUUCACUACCUCCAUAUAUCAUUGCACCUCCUUGAAAAGCAUGUUCUGUGGCUG